UCUCUCUGUCUCAGUCCCAUUUGAAAAAAAACCUUCCAAUUUCAUCGAAAAUGGCGGACACGAUCGAUUCUCUGCAUCAAACCCAUCAUUCAAAUCCUUCUUUUCAACCGCUUUUACAUUUCCUCGACCCAUUUCUCUCAUUCUUUCGCAGAAUCAUAUAAUCGAAAGAGGUCCCAGAUACAGUUCAUAUGCUGAAUUGAGAGAAAACAAGCUGAGAAUGAAGUUUGAGCAGCUACAAGAAUGGGAAGAAACCGAAUUCAAACAAACCCCAGUUAAGAAACAAGUGGAAUUCAGUUCGAAUUCGGGGAUUCCCGUUAAACGUUCUUCUGUUUUGAUGCAAUCGGUGCCUGAUUUUUCAUCCACUUUACUGAAGGAGAACCGGAAGCCGUCGGUUGGGAUUGAAUCGACCCCGCCGAGAACGGCAAAGAAUUGGUCAAAAGCGAAGCAACAAGAAACUGAAUUAAACAAACCCCAACCAAGAAACAAGUGAAGUUCAGUUCGAAUUCAGGGGUUUCGAGUAAAGGGCCCUCUGUUUUGGCUCAAUCAGUGCCGGAUUUUUCUGCCACUUUAUGGAAAGAGAACCCGAGGCCGGAGGUCAUGGGGCGGAUUGAAAUGACGCCGCCUUCGAGGGGAAAGAAUUGGUCAAAUUCUGGGGAGAAGAAGAAGGGAAGGUUGGUGAUGACGAGCAAGAGUUAUGCAAAUGUUGAAGAACUGAAGGCCAUUAACGGCGGAAGCAGGGGAGGGAAGAGUAGUGCCAGAUUAUUUUAGAAGAAAAAAAAAAGAGAGGAAGAAAGCUCUGAAUUUGAAGGAUUCUGAUUACUUGGUUCUCGUAUUUUAGAGAGAUUUGAGGUUAAAAAUUCUUUUAUUAGUUUGUUAUUUUCACGAAUUGACUGCAAAUAUAAGAAGAGGGUUCGCUGUUUAAGUA